rnacentral:pre_miRNA from 1 species
UCUUAUGGAUGAGAAAAAGUGGUUUCUUGAGAUGGAAACUACUUUUGGCGAAGAUGCCGUGAA